rnacentral:rRNA from 1 species
AUUGGACGCUGGCGGAAUGCUUUACACAUGCAAGUCGAACGGCAGCACGGACUUCGGUCUGGUGGCGAGUGGCGAACGGGUGAGUAAUGUAUCGGAACGUGCCCAGUCGUGGGGGAUAACGUAGUGAAAAUUACGCUAAUACCGCAUACGAUCUAUGGAUGAAAGCGGGGGAUCGCAAGACCUCGCGCGAUUGGAGCGGCCGAUAUCAGAUUAGGUAGUUGGUGGGGUAAAGGCCCACCAAGCCAACGAUCUGUAGCUGGUCUGAGAGGACGACCAGCCACACUGGAACUGAGACACGGUCCAGAAUCCUACGGGAGGCAGCAGUGGGGAAUUUUGGACAAUGGGCGAAAGCCUGAUCCAGCCAUUCCGCGUGCAGGAUGAAGGCCCUCGGGUUGUAAACUGCUUUUGUACAGAACGAAAAGGUUUCUACUAAUACUAGGAGCUCAUGACGGUACUGUAAGAAUAAGCACCGACUAACUACGUGCCAGCCGCCGCAGUAA